UUGUCAAAAAAGAAAAGAAAAAGAGGGUCACACUGUCUCUGCGUGACUCGUUCUACUGGAGACAACCACAAAAUGAGCCUUCUUUUCAACUCUAGUGUCACUUUAUUCAUUUCUCUUGGGGAUUACUUUUUUAUCUUUGGGGACUUAUUUAAUUUCAGUGUCUUUCAAUGCCAGGAGAAUAAGCAUUUCUAUUUCAUACAGUCAAGAGAAUGGAGAAGGUGUGGAGGUGACUGGCUGCACAUCUCCACUGGUUGAAGAAAGACAGAUUCUGGUUGUGCACCUUCAUGUCAGGAAAUCCAGGGAAUGAAAGCUGAGAGACAACCACAAGAUCUGCUGAAUCUGAAUCCACAUGUAAUGGCUUUUGUUGGCCACUGUGAUUUUACAAGAUUUUACAAGAUGUGGGUGUAAGAUUUUGCCUCUGGGCCAAAAGUAAGAGUCUGCAUAACAAACUUGUAUCCUUGAGCCUUACUGUAACUAUGGAGACUGGGAAAGGAAAGAGCUUUCUUCAAGGACUUCUGAGCAGGAGAAGGGUCAUGGCUGGAGAAAAAGGCCAAACAACUCUGCACUCAAUAAACUGAAGCAGGAAACCGCAGCAUGACUCAUUUCUUAUGCGUAAUGUAUCAUCAGAGCUCUCCCGUUACAGUUCACUGGUGGAAAUGAAGUUCAUCUUUCUCUGGCUUUCAGGAAACUGCUGAGAGAAAACUCCUUUAGGCAAGCCACAGCUCCAGUGCUGGGUGUUUUGCAAGCAGAAGAGCAAUGCUGAUACCGGACUGCUGUUAGAUCCAAACUGAUACUUGGCAUUGUCUUACCCCUGACCGAAGUUUCAGGUUCUCUUCAAACCACCUUUGCUUGGUGAGAACUUUGGUAUCCUGGUAUCCAUAGCCUCAGUGUGGAAGACAACUCUUUUCUUCUUAUUCUCCAUGUAAUAAUGUGAACAGCAAGAAAAACAGCUCUGAUAAUGAAAAUAAGCUAAAACAAUGAAGUUUUUUACUGGGUUUUUUUGGACAACGAUUGGCAGUUAAACCAGACCUUGAAAGCGAACCAACUUAGAUUCUGUUCCAAUUUUGAUUUAAUAAUUGUUUUUGUGGGACUGUGAUAUGGGGACUCUUACUGAACUUCACAACAAAAAUAAUUGAUUCUGUUCUCAAGUUUCCUGCAGGAUUUUAGAUUGGGGAUAAAAGCACCAAGGAUGUAUUGAGAAUGCCCAGUGAUUUGGGGAGGUAAAACAGGGGGUAGAGACUCACACACAGACAUAGACAGUGCUGACCUAGAGCCAUCUUGCUUUUUGUUUUGUAACAAAAUGUCCACAGAAGACUCCUGUCCUAAAAUAUUAAACCAUAGACUACUGGCUGUAUUUUAAAACUGUUUUUGUUUUCAUAAAAAGCUACAUUAUAAUAUCUUGGCAUGGUACUCAGCGCCAUCAAUUGUGUAAAAUUCUGUUGCCUGCUGUUCUUUUCUAUCAUUAAUAAUACAUCCUAAGACGGGAGUGAGAACAGAGUCUUGCAAUGCUAGCUGAUAAGAUAGCUGAAAAUGCUUCUUUCAUUCCAACUAAGAUGAUAAAAAUAAGGAGGAAUCUUUCAGACUGUAGAUGACAGAUUCAAAGCUGAACUCGGAGCAUCUGACCCUGCUCAAAGUUGUGGAACUUCACUGCCUUGGAGGAAAAGUGGAACUGAAAUUUAAAAAAAAAGGAAAAAACUCCACCCUGGAGACAGUUAUACUCCCAAGCCCUGAGUUUAGCCUUGAAAGUAUUAGCAUGAUUUUCUCUAUGCUCUAAUGAUCAGUCAGUGUACUGUAAAUUAAUCCUACGCAAUUGAAAAAACCAAUUUUUUUAGUCUACUUUUUUUCUCCUCAGUUUUUGAAGGCUUUAUCCUUCCAAUGUCCUGAAAAUAUUGCCUUUAUCCUAAUCUGAAAAUUAAAAAAAGAAGAAUUCCUAGAAAUCCUAUUGUUCUUCCAGGCAUGUUUUUUGGAGAAUAGUGCCUAUAAAAGCAAUGGUGAUGUGCCCUUUCUUAGGAGGUAGGUCAAGAACUUCAAAUUUGAGCCCAUAAACAAGAUGAUAGGUUUCUUGCUCUCCAAAUCAGUCAUCUUGGAAAUCUGUUUUUCAUUCGAGUUUAUGUUGUUCAGAUGUAGCAUUAGACUUUUGUUCUGUCUUUCUGCAGUGAAAAUACAUGUGGUUUUUGCUAAUGAAGAAAUUUGUUGUUUGCUUACUUUUAUUCUGCUUGUCUCUUGUAGAGGGCAGUUCAGGUAUACCUGAGAGGACUGGAAUGCUAAUUUUCAUGUUGUAACAGAGAGGAGGCAGCGGACAAUCUCAAAUGAAGUUCUGGAUCUGUCCCUCUCAUGUCCCUUUAUAGCUAGGGAGGCCAGCAAGCUACUUUGAAAGUAAAUAAAGAUAUGUUGUUUCAACUCUUCAACCUGAAGAAUAAUUUGGCACAAGAAAAACAUCUGGACUGGUCAUGAGCAAAAGAAUGCAAAAAACUUGGAAACGGCUUCCAGUCACAGAAACACUGAGGUUCUGAAACAGCCUUCCUAUGCAACCAGUUAGAUUUGCUGGGGGCUUCUUUGCAUUAUCUUGUUUUCAGAUUAUAGUUUGAUAAUUCUGAAUGGGAUUGUAAAGUGUGAUUGCCAGCUUCUGCAGACAAACAGAAUUAUUUACUUUUAUACCAAUUCCUAACAUAUUUGGUAAUCAGAUUUCAAAA